CAAGAAAAGGAAAAGAAAAGAAAACGGCUUGCAUAAUCAUAAAUCAUUUUUUUUUUCUUCCUGUAUGAUCAGACUCUAAAAUUCUGAUGAACAGAGAGAACAAGGCGGUGAAAGAGAUUGAUAAAAUUGGGGCAUGAAAGACAACGCCGCAGCAUCUUGUUAAUGGAAGCUAUUCGAUUAUUUCGCCCUCUCGAUCACUCAAUUUCACAUAUAAUUCAAAUGGAAUCUCUCUCCACAACGAAUGAUAUCAUGAUCAAGCACGAAGAAGGUUCCGCGUCAUAUCAAUCCGAUGAGGAUAUGCGCAGUCUGUGCGUGACGCAUCCAGAUUAUGAUGCGAGAUAGGUUUUGCGGGGGUUUUAUCACAUCAUCAAUGGCUUCAACGCAAUUAACUGCCAGAAAUGCUGUGGAACAUCACUCUGUUAGAUUAAUGAAGCUAAGCAAGCUCCACAUACAAGGAAUCAUACAAGUUGGUGGACAGAAUACAAAGAAUUGCAGCCACUGAAGUCUUUCUGGGUAAGGAUUCAAAGAUGGCGAUUGCAAGAAUCUGGUAUAUAUUGACUGUCAUUACAGAAUUUUUUGCUUUUGUUUUAUUGUCUCUUAAUAGUUAUAUUCUCAUUUCCACAAACUCUGCAAAGUAGAAGACACGGUUAUUGUUUUUACACGUCAGAAAAAGAUURAUAGGAUCAAUAUCACCACUUGAUUGUGUUACUAAUACAAGUAUGAUUAACUCAUAAUCUACAAAUCAAAUGGUUAAUGAUUCAUAUAGCAGCAUAAUAUAAUAGUCGUAUCCUCUAAAUUAGAAGACCUGUCAACUUGUCCAGCCUGUUGGAAACAGUAGUCCUCAUUUUAAAAAGUUAAACUUUUAUUAAUUUGAGCAUCUAACUAAAGCACAAGCUCUUUUGAACGUUCUUUUUUUUUUAUAAAGAAGGCAAUCUUCCUUAUGUUGUCUCUAUAAAUAGUCUUGCAUGAGAGCUCAAACUCAUAUAACAACAAGCUUCGAUAUUUGUUUUCUCUUGCACACUUUUCCUUCUUAAUAUUUAAAGCCUAUAUAACCGUUUGGACCAAAUUUGAAUAAAUUUGGUCCAAAAAGGUUAUAAGGUUUUAAACAAACUUGAAAAAAAACCUUAUAUAUAUCAAGUGUACUUUUGUUUCUUUGCUUCAUAUCAUCUGCAAGGAAAACUCUAUCAU